AUUGGCUUAGCGCGUGCAGUCUACCUUCCUCGCUCGAUUUUGCUUCUUGACCUCGUGGCUUUGGCGAUUUUUGGCGUUUAAUUUACUCAUUUUUCAACGCUUUUCAAGGUGGUGGAAGUCGUACUUGCCAUGAGUUAUUAAACAGUUUGGAAAAGGACAUUUUUUCAUGUAAUGCCCACAAGGAGGAGGUGGGAGUCGAGCAUGUAGGUGUCAUAAGAAGUGGGACAUGUAGCAAGGGAUUUUCCCUAAGGAUUGGUCAUUGGUGGCAGCAAGUGUUACAAGUGUCAUGAAGUUGGCCACACCUCGAAAGGCUGUACGAAUCUAUUCGUGAAUUGACGGAAAACGGAAAGCCGCAUGAACAAUAUAUUCCGGAAGCUGUGACAUGCGAUGAAAAUGAACUGUUUAAGUGGGAUCGUCUGUGGGGAAAGCUUUAACAAUUUUGAUAAAGUUGUUCUUCAUCGAAUCCAGGUUACAGGAAAAGAUGUACCUCAAUACAUCACAUCACUCGAAGAACCCGGCCUGCGCCCACUACUACUUCAAAACAUUAAGAAUUCAGAAAAAAAUUAUGGUAGUUGGAACGAUUACCGAAGCUCUUCGGAUUCGUUUAUUUCACGCGUUAUGUGAUAAUUCUGCAGCGGGUCAUGCAGAUACUGUGAUCAGCAGAGAAGGUUAGAAGUGCGCUGCCCGGAAAGCAAAUUUGGGGUAAAAGAAAAAAACUUAUUAGAACUAGUAAGCCAUUUCCAAAUUCAACCAACAUAAAGGUACACAGUGAGAUUUGCUUAACAAUUAUGUUUCUUUAAUUGAUUUUAAAAUUAGGAAAAGGUUGAAGGGAAAACUUCGUUCUCUAGUAGUUUUUUAGUUAAAAUCCUUUUUGUGCAAAUUCAUGUUUGAAAUUGUUUACUUCAUUUUCGAAUGGUUCCGUUCACAUUUGUUAUUCAUUUGAGAUGUUGUAUUUACCAGUUACUGCAUUAUAUUUACCACUAUUGCAAGAUGUUUGUUUAUGAAAUACUACUGUUUUGUUUAUCUGGAAUGUUGUGUGGGAGUCCAUCAGGAAUUGCUGGUCUGCAGUAAAUUUGUCAGGCUAGGUGAUGAACAUUAAUGAAUCAGAAAAUGUUUUGCAUGGGUGGUGAAAGUUCUGACAGUUUUAACAGUUGUGAUGUG